rnacentral:rRNA from 1 species
AUUGAACGCUGGCGGCAUGCCUUACACAUGCAAGUCGAACGGUAACAGGUCUUCGGAUGCUGACGAGUGGCGAACGGGUGAGUAAUACAUCGGAACGUGCCCGAUCGUGGGGGAUAACGAAGCGAAAGCUUUGCUAAUACCGCAUAAGAUCUACGGAUGAAAGCAGGGGACCGCAAGGCCUUGCGCGAACGGAGCGGCCGAUGGCAGAUUAGGUAGUUGGGUGGAAAAAAGCUUACCAAGCCGACGAUCUGUAGCUGGUCUGAGAGGACGGGCAGCAACACUGGGGCGUGAACAGGGCCAAUGCGCGUACGGGAGGCAGGAGGGGGGAAUUUUGUACAAUGGGCGAAAGCCUGAUACAGCCAUGCCGCGUGAAGGAUGAAGGCCUUCGGGUUGUAAACUGCUUUUGUACGGAACGAAAAGACUCUUUCUAAUAAAGAGGGUCCAUGACGGUACCGUAAGAAUAAGCGCCGGCUAACUACGUGCCAGCCGCCGCCGUAA